rfam:Staphylococcus pseudintermedius strain 063228, complete genome.
CGGGAAGUAGCUCAGCUUGGUAGAGCACUUGGUUUGGGACCAAGGGGUCGCAGGUUCAAAUCCUGUCUUCCCGA